rnacentral:rRNA from 1 species
GACGAACGCUGGCGGCGUGCCUAAUACAUGCGAGUAGAACGCUGAAGGAGGAGCUUGCUUCUCCGGAUGAGUUGCGAACGGGUGAGUAACGCGUAGGUAACCUGCCUGGUAGCGGGGGAAAACUAUUGGAAACGAUAGCUAAUACCGCAUAACAGUAGAUAGUGCAUGAUAUCUGCUUGAAAGGGGCAAUUGUGUCACUACCAGAUGGACCUCCGUUGUAUUAGCUAGUUGGUGAGGUAACGGCUCACCAAGGGGACGAUACAUAGCCGACCUGAGAGGGUGGUAGGCCACACUGGGAAUUAGGCACGGCCCAGGAUCCUACGGGAGGCAGCAGUAGGGAAUCUUCGGCAAUGGACGGAAGUCUGACCGAGCAACGCCGCGAGAGUGGAGGAGGUUUUCGGAUCGUAAAGCUCUGUUGUAAGAGAAGAACGAGUGUGAGAGUGGAAAGCUCACACUGUGACGGUAUCUUACCAGAAAGGGACGGCUAACUACGUG